rnacentral:tRNA from 1 species
UGCCGAAACCCGGGUUCGAACCAGGGACCUUUAGAUCUUCAGUCUAACGCUCUCUCAACUGAGAUAUUUCGUU